GUGUUACUUCGGUAUCACAUAUACUAAAAUUGGAACGAUACAGAGAAGAUUAGCAUGGCCCCUGCGCAAAGGAAG
ensembl:snRNA U6 U6 spliceosomal RNA